rnacentral:rRNA from 1 species
UGUAUCUGAAAUCAAGCAGGAUCACCCGCUGAACUUAAGCAUAUCACUAAGCGGAGGAGAAGAAAUUAACUAAGAUUGCCUCAGUAACGGCGAGUGAAGCGGCAAAAGCCCAAAAUGUAAAUCUAGUACAUUCUGUACUCGAAUUGUAAUCUAGAGAGGAUUCACUCAACGGGUGGUGGCGCAGAAGUGACCACGAACGGUCCGCCAGAGAGGGUGAAAGCCCCGUAUGUGGUGCCGCUACUUAACGAGUGGGUUUUCGAAGAGUCGGGUUGUUUUGUAUUGCAGCCCUAAGUGGGAGAUAAACUUCUUCUAAGGCUAAAUAUAUAUGGGAAACCGAUAGCGAACAAGUACUGUGAAGGAAAGAUGAAAAGAACUUUGAAAAGAGAGUCAAAAGACUUGAAAUCGUUGAGAAGGAGGGAGUAGAAAUUUAUUCUUCUGCGUAGGCCGGUAGUAGUCGCCUAACCAUUGCUGGCUAAGAGAACCGAAAGGGCUCUGGUUAGUACCUGGGGAAGUGGCUACUUUGGUGUGCGUAGUGAGACAAGAUGGGGUCGUGCGGCCACAAAGGCUUCUUACAUUUCGCUUUCUUCGGGAGGCACUGUAGGUGUGUCGGUGGAAGUACGGCCUGAGAAUGCUUCGGCGAUCUUGUCAAAAUGGUUUUUACUCACCCGUCUUGAAACACGGACCAAGGAGUCUAACUUAUAUGCGAGUGUGCUAGUGGAAAAACUAACACGCGUAAUGAAGGUGAUUAAUGCCAAGCGCAAGCAGCAGCAUUGACCGACCAUGAUCCUCUGGUGAAAGGUUUGAGUACGAGCAUACAAGUUAGGACCCGAAAGAUAGUGAACUAUGCUUGAGUAGGGUGAAGCCAGGGGAAACUCUGGUGGAGGCUCGUAGCGGUACUGACGUGCAAAUCGUUCGUCAAACUUGGGUAUAGGGGCGAAAGACUAAUCGAACCAUCUAGUAGCUGGUUCCCUCCGAAGUUUCCCUCAGGAUAGCUGGGACAAAUACGCAGUUUUAUUAGGUAAAGCGAAUGAUUAGAGGCAUCGGGGGUAAAAUGCCCUCGACCUAUUCUCAAACUUUAAAUUGGUAAGAACCCUGGCCUUUCUUAAGUGAGGCAUGGGGGCUCAAUGCGUGUCCCAAGUGGGCCAUUUUUGGUAAGCAGAACUGGCGAUGAGGGAUGCUCCUAACGUCGAGUUAAGGUGCCCAACUGCACGCUCAUCAGAAACUACAAAGGGUGUUGGUUCAUCCAGACAGCAGGACGGUGGCCAUGGAAGUCGGAACCCGCUAAGGAGUGUGUAACAACUCACCUGCCGAAUGGACUAGCCCCGAAAAUGGAUGGCGCUCAAGCGUGCGACCGAUACUCGACCAUU